CAGCCGCCGCGGUAAUACGAAGGGGGCUAGCGUUGCUCGGAAUUACUGGGCGUAAAGCGCGCGUAGGCGGUUACUCAAGUCAGAGGUGAAAGCCCGGGGCUCAACCCCGGAACUGCCUUUGAAACUAGGUGACUAGAAUCUCGGAGAGGUCAGUGGAAUUCCGAGUGUAGAGGUGAAAUUCGUAGAUAUUCGGAAGAACACCAGUGGCGAAGGCGACUGACUGGACAAGUAUUGACGCUGAGGUGCGAAAGCGUGGGGAGCAAACAGGAUUAGAUACCCCGGUAGUCCCUGUCUCUUAUAC
rnacentral:rRNA from 1 species